AUUGAACGCUGGCGGCAGGCCUAACACAUGCAAGUCGAGCGGAUGAGAAAAGCUUGCUUUUCGAUUCAGCGGCGGACGGGUGAGUAAUGCCUAGGAAUCUGCCUGUUAGUGGGGGAUAACUCGGGGAAACUCGGGCUAAUACCGCAUACGUCCUACGGGAGAAAGUGGGGGAUCUUCGGACCUCACGCUAACAGAUGAGCCUAGGUCGGAUUAGCUAGUAGGUGAGGUAAUGGCUCACCUAGGCGACGAUCCGUAACUGGUCUGAGAGGAUGAUCAGUCACACUGGAACGGAGACACGGUCCAGACUCCUACGGGAGGCAGCAGUGGGGAAUAUUGGACAAUGGGCGAAAGCCUGAUCCAGCCAUGCCGCGUGUGUGAAGAAGGUCUUCGGAUUGUAAAGCACUUUAAGUUGGGAGGAAGGGUAUUCACCUAAUACGUGGGUACUUUGACGUUACCAACAGAAUAAGCACCGGCUAACUCUGUGCCAGCCGCCGCGGUAAGAC
rnacentral:rRNA from 1 species